rnacentral:rRNA from 1 species
GGGGGAUAACUAUUGGAAACGAUAGCUAAUACCUCAUAACAAUGGGUGACCCAUGUCAUUCAUUUGAAAGGGGCAACUGCUCCACUACAAGAUGGACCUGCGUUGUAUUAGCUAGUAGGUGAGGUAACGGCUCACCUAGGCGACGAUACAUAGCCGACCUGAGAGGGUGAUCGGCCACACUGGGACUGAGACACGGCCCAG